rnacentral:rRNA from 1 species
UACGUAGGUGGCAAGCGUUGUCCGGAAUUAUUGGGCGUAAAGCGUACGCAGGCGGUUUCUUAAGUCUGAUGUGAAAGCCCACGGCUCAACCGUGGAGGGUCAUUGGAAACUGGGGAACUUGAGUACAGAAGAGGAGAGUGGAAUUCCACGUGUAGCGGUGAAAUGCGUAGAGAUGUGGAGGAACACCAGUGGCGAAGGCGACUCUCUGGUCUGUAACUGACGCUGAGGUACGAAAGCGUGGGGAGCGAACAGGAUUAGAAACCCCCGUAGUCC